rnacentral:rRNA from 1 species
GACGAACGCUGGCGGCGUGCUUAACACAUGCAAGUCGAACGGAAAGGCCCUGCUUUUGUGGGGUGCUCGAGUGGCGAACGGGUGAGUAACACGUGAGUAACCUGCCCUUGACUUUGGGAUAACUUCAGGAUACUGGGGCUAAUACCGGAUAGGAGCUCCUGCUGCAUGGUGGGGGUUGGAAAGUUUCGGCGGUUGGGGAUGGACUCGCGGCUUAUCAGCUUGUUGGUGGGGUAGUGGCUUACCAAGGCUUUGACGGGUAGCCGGCCUGAGAGGGUGACCGGCCACAUUGGGACUGAGAUACGGCCCAGACUCCUACGGGAGGCAGCAGUGGGGAAUAUUGCACAAUGGGCGGAAGCCUGAUGCAGCAACGCCGCGUGCGGGAUGACGGCCUUCGGGUUGUAAACCGCUUUCGCCUGUGACGAAGCGUGAGUGACGGUAAUGGGUAAAGAAGCACCGGCUAACUACGU